rnacentral:rRNA from 1 species
GAUGAACGCUGGCGGCGUGCCUAAUACAUGCAAGUCGAGCGAACGGACGAGAAGCUUGCUUCUCUGAUGUUAGCGGCGGACGGGUGAGUAACACGUGGAUAACCUACCUAUAAGACUGGGAUAACUUCGGGAAACCGUAGCUAAUACCGGAUAAUAUUUUGAACCGCAUGGUUCAAAAGUGAAAGACGGUCUUGCUGUCACUUAUAGAUGGAUCCGCGCUGCAUUAGCUAGUUGGUAAGGUAACGGCUUACCAAGGCAACGAUGCAUAGCCGACCUGAGAGGGUGACCGGCCACACUGGAACUGAGACACGGUCCAGACUCCUACGGGAGGCAGCAGUAGGGAAUUUUCCGCAAUGGGCGAAAGCCUGACGGAGCAACGCCGCGUGAGUGAUGAAGGUCUUCGGAUCGUAAAACUCUGUUAUUAGGGAAGAACAUAUGUGUAAGUAACUGUGCACAUCUUGACGGUACCUAAUCAGAAAGCCACGGCUAACUACGUG